UAUACAUCACGUGUCGACAAUCGUUUUAGUCAUUCUAACUUCAUUUGAUCAUUAUCAACAAGAUGUGGUUAUAUAAACAAGACUUAUAAGAAAAUUCCCGUCAUUAAAUGGAUUUUAUGAACUGUAUUGGUAUUAGAUAGAGCGGUAAUACACAUCUGUAGAAAAAUUGAACAUCUAUUGUUUGAAUUUGUUUGAUCCUUGUCCAGUCAAUUAGAUAAUCGUCCAGUCAAUGUGAACCUUAUGCCGUCUAGUUGCUAUUUAAGGUCUGUGGAAGUGUAACUGAUGUUCUUGUGUUUGAAGGAAAAAAUCACACCCUGUUUGUAGAAUAC